rnacentral:tRNA from 1 species
GUCCCUGUAGCGCAAUGAAUAGCGCGUUGGACUUCUGAUCAAAGGCCGUGGGUUCAAAUCAUCUCACCGGGGAUG